CCCUUAGAUGUUCUGGGCCGCACGCGCGCUACACUGAUGCAUUCAACGAGUUUUUCCUGGUCCGAGAGGAAUGGGUAACCUUUUGAAAGUGCAUCGUGCUAGGGAUAGACUAUUGCAAUUAUUGGUCUUCAACGAGGAAUUCCUAGUAGACGUAGUUCAUCAGACUGCAUCGAUUACGUCCCUGCCCUUUGUACACACCGCCCGUCGCUCCUACCGAUUGGAUGAUCCGGUGAAGCCUCGGGAUUGUGGUUCUUGCCGCUUUAUUGUGGCGUGACCGCGAGAACUUGUCUAAACCUUAUCAUCUAGAGGAAGGUGAAGUCGUAACA
rnacentral:rRNA from 1 species